CCUACGGGAGGCUGCAGUGAGGAAUAUUGGUCAAUGGACGAGAGUCUGAACCAGCCAAGUAGCGUGAAGGAUGACUGCCCUAUGGGUUGUAAACUUCUUUUAUAUGGGAAUAAAACGUUCCACGUGUGGGAUUUUGUAUGUACCAUAUGAAUAAGGAUCGGCUAACUCCGUGCCAGCAGCCGCGGUAAUACGGAGGAUCCGAGCGUUAUCCGGAUUUAUUGGGUUUAAAGGGAGCGUAGGUGGAUUGUUAAGUCAGUUGUGAAAGUUUGCGGCUCAACCGUAAAAUUGCAGUUGAAACUGGCAGUCUUGAGUACAGUAGAGGUGGGCGGAAUUCGUGGUGUAGCGGUGAAAUGCUUAGAGAUCACGAAGAACUCCGAUUGCGAAGGCAGUUCACUGGACUGCAACUGACACUGAGGCUCGAAAGUGUGGGUAUCAAACAGGAUUAGAUACCCCUGUAGUC
rnacentral:rRNA from 1 species